rnacentral:lncRNA from 1 species
AUUUGGGAAGGAAAUUAAUGUAUCAGCUGUUAAGUAUGGUUGAAUGUCCCCAAAUCUCAGCUUCCAUGAUGAGUGUCCUUUCAGUAACUGAAAGUGUUGAAGAAGUGGAAGAAUACAACUUUGGCUAUUCCUAUGGUCUUGAAGCAAGAGAAAACAAAUGCUCUUUGCAGCAGAUGUUCAAUGCAUUUUGA